CCGGAAGUCGACAUGUUUCCUUAUUGAUUGUAUGAAUGCUGCUACCGUGUAAGUAGGUAAAAGAGUCAAAUAGGACAUUUGCUGAUCUAUGUAUGAUGGGAAGGGACCGAGCUGUUUUCAGUGUUUUGCGUAAUUAUUCAUCCCGCCUUGGACAAAUCCACAUUUUGCUUUGUUACAAUCUAAAACUAAAAUGGAUUUUAUAUGAAUGUUUUUUAAAACAUUUAAUUCUAUUUUAACAGGGGUUACAGCAAUAUAUUGGGAUUUUUGCUAUUUGGUUUACAUAACACAGUUAAUACUGUGAAUGUGCAAAAAAAUUUAUAUAAGCAAAAAUUCUGUGCCUCUCGUGUGCGCACCUGGAAGAAGGAAACUGGAAGAAAAUACCAGAGAGGAGUAAGCUGGUGCCCUUUUUCAAAUAAAUUUAAUGGAUCCAGAGAAUAUCUUCAGCACAGAAAGAAUACUGUUUGAGAGGUCUUGCUGAGACUUUCAUUAAGACUUUAUAUCAAGGUUUGUUUGG